GACGAACGCUGGCGGCGUGCCUAAUACAUGCAAGUCGAACGAAGCUGUUUUAACUGGUGCUUGCACCGACUUAAACAACUGAGUGGCGAACGGGUGAGUAACACGUGGGUAACCUGCCCCAAAGCGGGGGAUAACAUUUGGAAACAGAUGCUAAUACCGCAUAACCACAGAAACCACAUGGUUUCUGUGUCAAAGAUGGUUUCGGCUAUCACUUUGGGAUGGACCCGCGGCGUAUUAGCUAGUUGGUAAGGUAAUGGCUUACCAAGGCAAUGAUACGUAGCCGAACUGGGAGGUUGAUCGGCCACAUUGGGGCUGAGACACGGCGCAAACUCCUACGGGAGGCAGCAGUAGGGAAUCUUCCACAAUGGACGAAAGUCUGAUGGAGCAACGCCGCGUGAGUGAAGAAGGUUUUCGGAUCGUAAAACUCUGUUGUCAGAGAAGAACGUGUGCGAGAGUAACUGCUCGUGCAGUGACGGUAUCUGGCCAGAAAGCCACGGCUAACUACGUGCCAGCCGCCGCCGUAA
rnacentral:rRNA from 1 species